GCGGGGAUGCCGGAGUGGCCAAACACAAGCUUUAAGCAAAAUGGGCUUUACGGGCUAGGCUAAGGACCUAGUGGCUUAGGCCUACGCAGGUUCGAAUCCUGUUCUCCGCA
rnacentral:tRNA from 1 species